rnacentral:rRNA from 1 species
GACGAACGCUGGCGGCGUGCUUAACACAUGCAAGUCGAACGAGUGGCGAACGGGUGAGUAACACGUGGGUGCUCUGCCUUGAACUUCCGGAUAAGGGUGGGAAACUGGGGCUAAUACCUGCUAGUGGAAGAUGAGCUCGGGGCCUAUCGGCUUGUUGGUGGGGGAAUGGCUACCAAGGCGGGACGGGUAGCCGGCACGGGAGGGUGUACGGCCACAUUGGGCCUUAGAGACGGCCCAGACGCCUACGGGAGGCAGCAGUGGGGAAUAUUGCACAAUGGGCGGAAGCCUGAUGCAGCGACGCCGCGUGGGGGAAGAAGGCCUUCGGGUUGUAAACUACGUUCGACAGGGAAGCGGUACCUGGAUAAGAAGCACCGGCUAACUACGUGCCAGCAGCCGCGGUAAUAC